CUUGCACCCUGUCCUCAAGUUUGUUCGGAGGAAAUGGAAUCUUGAAAAAUAAGUUCUGAAGAUAUUUUCCUUUGUGUUCUGUGUUAAAACGUCAACUACCAGACGCUGCCAUGCCUCCCACGACGGCUUUCGUGUGUGCCUCCCACUGGAAUUUCAGCGUCUGGCCGUCACAAGACCCUCCUUCCUGCUGCUGACCACUGGCUAAUCUUGGAGAGGUUUUGAUGGGUAGAGCGCUGACAGUUGAGCUCUUCUUCCUGCCACAAGGUUAUUAUAAAGGGCAACUUCUUAUUUCAAAAUCAUGUGGUCCCAAAUGUAUGGUGAACCUGGCUUGCCAGCGCAGGGACUCCACCGCAUGUGUGACUCCUGGUGACAGCUUGUGGAGACCCCAGAAGUGGCUCUGCAGCUCCUGUGCUGCAGCCAUUCCAUAGGUUCACUGUGACUGAGGCAAAGGGUCCUCUGAUGUUCUUAGGUCAUUCCUCAGAGACUGGAAUAGUCCUGUUCAAAACAACACUUACUAUUAUUCUUUAACAUUUUACCUGUACAGAGGGGAGAAGUGCACGUGAAUUGCGUGGAGAGACAUGCCCUAAGCAUGGCUGCAUGUAUGAGGGACAUAGAUAUAAAGAGACUAACUGAAAGUCGUCAGCUACCAAUUUGGCCGGUUUCCUCAAAGACCCAGGAAAAAAUUAUCACAAUAUUGUAAGUACCAGACAUAAUCUUUAAUUCUGUUGAGAAACAAUCUGAUUUCUUCCAAGUCACAACUUUUAUUUAUGUAUAUAUUUAUUUAUUAUGAUUUGGUGAUUAAUUUUAAUAUUUUUAUUGGAAUAUAGUUGAUAUGCAAUAUUAUAUUGGUUUCAGAUGUAUAACACGGUGACUCAAUAAUCACGCACAUUACUAAAUGCUCACCACAGUAAGUGCAGUUACCGCCACUACCAUACCAAGGUAUUACAGUAUUAUUCUCUGUGUUGUGCUUCCAUUCCUAUGACUUAUUUUAUAAAUUGAAGUAUGUACUACUUUCUCCCCUUCACUUAUUUUACCCACCCCCCCUGCCCUCCUGUGGUAACUAACAGUCUGUUGUCAGUAUUUGUGUGUCUGUUUCUUUUUGUCUUGUUUUUUCGCCUCUGCAUACAAGUGAAAUCAUAUGGUAUUUGUCUUUAUCUGCCAAGUCACAACUUUUAAAACCAGUAAUAAGAUUAAUAGCUUGGGUUAUAAGAGUUUAUCCACUUGAGACAAGGAUACCUUAUGAAGUACUUUAUCGUGGUUCACAAAUACCCAAGUGCUUCCAUAUGGUUUCUGUGAUUGUCCCAAUAGAUUUUGUGUACCUUAGUAGAUAAGAGUCCUUUAGGUUUAAAAGUUAAUCCCAAUAUACAGAAAGCAAAAUGAGGUGCAGAGUUUAAUGCUCAAAGGCAACUGUUUAAGACACCCCUUGAUGCACAGGACUCAGGACCCAGGGCUUUGUCACGUGCCUGCUCCCCACCCCCACUCCAGGAAGACACUGAAAUUAUGGGUGAAAUAAUUUCUGGACAUCAACAAAUGUAUGUGAUGUAUAUGCUCUCUAAAGUUCUUAGAAAUAAAAGUACUUUCAUUUGAAAUUUAAAAAUUCACCAGUUACCUUUUCAGCGUGAAUGCCAUUGAAAUAGUUAAUGAAAAAUGGGGAAUUAAUUUUAUUUUAUCCACUAUAUUUAAAUUUUAUCAACAUGUAAUUAACAUUUAAAAAGUAUUAUGAGAUAUUUUACUUUUUUCCAUACUAAAUCUUGAAAAUUUGGUGUGUAUUUUACACUUACUCUGUUUUAGCUUGGAUGCUAAAUUUUGAUUCAAAAUAUAAUUGAUUCUUAAAUGAACAUGGGUUUCAACUAUGUGGGUCCACCUAUACAUGAAUUUUUUUCAAUAGAUAUAUUGGAAAUUUUUUUGGAGAUUUGUGACAGUUUGGAACAUUUUCCUUUCUGUAGCUUGGUUUAUUGUAAAACUAUAGUGUGAGAUUAAUGAGCUUAAUAUAUAAAUCAAGUAAUAUAGAAAUCAAAUGUAUGAAGAUUUGUGACUUAAUUGUCUUUCCUACGACCUCUGAUGUUUGGUCAAGGACAGAGUGAUUAAAGCCAUAAAAAGUUCCUACAGCUCCUGACCGCCCUCACAUGGUUUCGGUGUCCUUGAGGAGUGUCCCGCCCUUGGGCUGGACUCAAAGAUAGAUGAUGAUCAUGUGCUGAACCCCCUACUCAGAAUUCUUCAGAUAUUCAUUUACUCAAUAAAUAUGAGGAGUGCCUUGGCAUUACUCUUGAGCUGUUA